rnacentral:rRNA from 1 species
UACGUAGGGCGCGAGCGUUAUUCGGAAUUACUGGGCGUAAAGCGUGCGCAGGCGGUCUGUUAAGACAGAUGUGAAAUCCCCGGGCUUAACCUGGGAACUGCAUUUGUGACUGGCAGGCUAGAGUAUGGCAGAGGGGGGUAGAAUUCCACGUGUAGCAGUGAAAUGCGUAGAGAUGUGGAGGAAUACCGAUGGCGAAGGCAGCCCCCUGGGCCAACACUGACGCUCAUGCACGAAAGCGUGGGGAGCAAACAGG